UACGUAGGUGGCAAGCGUUGUCCGGAUUUACUGGGCGUAAAGGGCGUGCAGGCGGUUUGUUAAGUGCAGGGUGAAAGCUCCCGGCUCAACUGGGAGAGGUCCUUGCAUACUGGCAAACUCGAGGGAGGCAGAGGAAAGUGGAAUUCCCGGUGUAGUGGUGAUAUGCGUAGAUAUCGGGAGGAACACCUGUGGCGAAGGCGGCUUUCUGGGCCAUUACUGACGCUGAGGAGGCGAAAAGCGUGGGGAGCGAACAGG
rnacentral:rRNA from 1 species